rnacentral:rRNA from 1 species
UACGAGGGGGGCGAGCGUUGUUCGGAAUUACUGGGCGUAAAGGGCGCGCAGGCGGCUCAGACAGUCAGAUGUGAAAGCCCCGGGCUUAACCUGGGAACUGCAUUUGAUACUACUGAGCUUGAGUACGGGGGAGGAUAGUGGAAUUCCCAGUGUAGAGGUGAAAUUCGUAGAUAUUGGGAAGAACACCGGUGGCGAAGGCAGAUCUCUGGGCCGUAACUGACGCUGAGGAGCGAAAGCAUGGGGAGCGAACAGG